UACUCAGAAGGCUUCCAGUGAAUGAUGGCC
rnacentral:piRNA from 1 species